AGGAAGGGCUCUCUCCGCAGAAAAGGAGACAUCUCUCAGUGCAGCCCUACUAAGAUGAGCGUGCCAGGGCUGUGUGUGCUUCUAGCCCACGGCUGGAAACUUCCUCAAGGCAGAAAGACCUGCUCCUAUCGCCGGGGAGGGGACCAAGCCUGGCAGGAGCAGGGGACACCUCAAUACGGCCCGACCGUGGGUGUUUUUCCACUCGCUUGGCACGGGCGCUGCCGCCGGCUCGGUGCAGUCAAGAGAGCUGAGUCCUAAAUAGGGCCCAGAGCGGCGAGGUGCGGCUGGAAAUGGGUGAUGAGGAGGGUGAGGAACGGUGCGGGGCGAGUGCGGCAGCGCCGGGGAAGAGACCCGCUCUGCACCCUCCGCAGGCGGCAGGAGCUCGGCACCCGGGCCGGGUGAGGGGAGGGAAGAGCUAAUGGAAUGAGUCAUCGACAGAGUGGAUUAUUUAAAGCACCAUACAUGGGAGCUCCUGUGUGUGGGCAGGGUGCUGCAGCCCUGUGCCACUGCCAGUCACAGUGAGGAGUGUGGAGCAGAGAACACUGUCUUCCAUGGAAACACACAACCACUGAGUACUUUGUAUUGUGUGCUCUCAGUAGAAAAAGGAAGUAAGGACCUCCUCGGUGGUAUGGUCUCUUCAGCUCCACGGGUUCAUUCUCUGCACACCAGCUCUGAAUGCACCUAGGUGUCUGGUUUUCUUCAGGACAGCACAUGGAGGAAAAUUAAGCUGUGAACUGGAAUUCCAUCAGGCUGUCUACUGUAAAGCCCCGUGGCUUUAGAAAAGGGGCAGUAGUGGUCAAAAAUGACACUCAAAAGUUGGAUUUUGCCAGGCCAGAGAAGUUGUGGAUGGGAGCUACCACUGAAGCUGCAAAGUGUGGCCUUACUCAGCCUCUUUGCCUGCCCCACCACAGAAACUUCUGGUCUGAAAACAGCAUGGAAUUGUGAGGUUAAUAUUCUGGACCUGGAAGUUUCUUAAGGCCUUACUGGUUCAGCAGAUGAGACCAAGGGAUUUCUGUUGCUCCCUCCAACUCUAAAUGAAAGACUGGAGAAGGGGAGCAUGAAAUCAGUCCAUAAACUAAAUGCAAAUAACAUGUAAUUAAUAGAAUUCCAGUUCUGUGAAUUGGAGAAGAUGUAAUCAAUAGAAUUCUAGUUCCUGUGAAAGAGAGAUGCUUUUACUUCACACAGCCAUCUAAGGAAGUAGCCCCACUGAAGUCUGGGCAAGUGAUGAUGACACUCCGAAGUCAAUGGGAAGUUGAGUCUGUUGAAGAUGGCUGCCCUUCUGGAACCGUUCCUCAGGUUUGAGCAUCUGGAUUUUGGAGCUGUCUUACUAAUAUUUGUAUGAAGCUGAAUGGCAAAAGCUGGAGGAAGUUCCUUGUUUACCUGCUUAAGUCAAGUCUAGGCUAAGAGUCCUGGUGGUAAAAGGCUAAUGCAAUGGCCAAGUCAAAGUAUGUGGUGUUUGUGUUCAUCAGCACAAAACCCUGGUAAGGUUCUUGGUGAAAAUCUCAACACAAAAGCCUGGACAGAACAAGCAGGGGAAUCCUUUAUCCCUGCACAUGCUGUUUUUAUUUUUAAUUUCUUUUUUUACUUUUUUUUUUGCUUUUUUUUUUUUGUUUGUUUGUUUGGUUGGUUUUGUGUAUGUGUGUGUGAAGGUGAUGGUGUUGUAUUUUGUUCUUGUUUUUGUUUUGUUUUUAAUCUUUUCUGUUCCGUUUCACCUCCAGUAACUUUAAUGAGUGUGUCCUAGGCAUGGAGAAGCCCAGCUGGAGAUGCGCUCCCUCAAUGGAUUGUGUAAUGGGAAGGAGCUGCUGUCAGCCCAGAGCAGAUGCUCCUGUUCUGCUGUGGGUUCAGGAGAAGUGGGAGCACCUCGGUGGAAACCUCUGUACAGGUGUCACGAGUGAAGGCAGAGAUCCCAGUUCAUUGCUGGCACGAGAAGAGUCAAUGGAACUGAUUUAAGCCAGGUUACACCUUUUAAGAUGUUCAUGUCAGCAGUGGUUUGGGCCCUUUUGCUUCUACUUAGAGUGAGUCAAAAGCAGGGUGAAAUGUAGAAAUAUUUGUGUUGGCUUCAAAACAUGAUUGAAGAUAAAUUGCUGUUAAGCUCCAUUUCUGUCUAGCUGUUGAUACAUGUAACAUGGUAAAUUAAUUAAGAGCUUAUACUCGCAAUAUAUAGGGAUUUCAAUUGUUUUAAAGUGGUAGUUAGUCUUUCAGCAGCUAGAGGAUACACACGCCUGAGUUAUUCUAGUAGAUCAGUGCUUCCAGAAGCAUAUGUUUAGUUUACCACACUUGCAGUUUCUUCAUGUCAAUCACCUUUUAUGCAUUUUUAUCGUGUGUUGAACAAACCAGAACUGUCCUUUGCCCAUUUUAUGAGUGUCCUGCAAAGCAGGGAAUGAAGUGGGUUGAUGACAGCUCAUCCAUCUCACUGUUUUUGAAAGGGAUUCUCCUACUGGACAUCAUGCAGAGCAGUGCUUUUUUGAAGCCCACCCACCUAGUACUAGUCCCCCUUCAGACAUGAUUGUAUUUCCCUAAGGCACUUCUUGGAGUGGUAAAUGUGCAUCAUCAAACAGCAGAUUUCUUAAUGGUAUAUAGUGAUGUUGACUUUCCUGAUGCUUCAGUUGCUGUUGUCUUAAUGUAGGCUGUCGCUCAUAUGUCAGCUGGAAACAAAAAUCAAUAAGCAAUGAGAAUGGGAGUGAAGGGAAAAGAAAGAAACAAAAUGAUGAACAAGAAUUCAGUGUCUUCCCUCAUAAACUUUAUUCAGCUGGUAUGUUUUACCAUUUCACAGGAUCUGCAGAUAAUCCCCACAGUCUCUCAGAGUCUCAGAACUCUUCUCAUUUCAUGAAGAAGGAAACUAAGGCACAGUGGGCAGAAACUGCUCCAGCUCCUCAGAUUUACUCCAAUAAGCUGAAACAAUUUGUUGAAGGGCACUCAGAAUCUGGGGCCAGAACAGAGUCAGGGAUAUGCCUAGGAAUGCACAACCAGCUUCUCCUCAGAAAAAAAAAAAGGAGACUGUGAAAAAUAGAAAAAAUGCCAUAACAUUUUUCUCCAGAAUGGAUAAUAUGGGAAUUAGCUUCCUUUUUCAUUCUGAUGUAAGGGGAAAAAAAGAAAAAAACAACCCAAGCUUUCAGUAAAAUUCUCAUCUACUGUGCAGUGCCACUGAUCUGGGCAGAGUUAGUCUGAUUGUAAGUAGUGCAGGAGGGAAGCCAGUCCUGUUCCUGUGGCAGUGCUGUACACCUGAAACCAGUGCAGAAAUGAUGACUCACAGGUCAGUGUGUGACGCUCUGGAGUUUACUGUUUGCACAUGAGGUUGGUUCUGUGCAAGAAACUGAAGAGCAACCUGGUUUAUACUGGGUUGAGUAUGUGAGGAAAUCUGUGGAGUGGCUGAGAGCUGUGCGUUUUCAACUGGGCAAACAUCAGACAAGAAAAGAGCAUGUUUGCUGUCCCUCUUUGCUUGGCUUUUGCAGGAUGCCUGACGUUAGGAGAGCAUGGUCAUUCCCACAGUGACAGACCUGUUCACACCCAGCCCUGUGCUCUGACAAGAGCCAUUUAAUCUUUGGAGUGAUGUCCCCAAGCACGACGGGGAUCCGCCCUCAUCUUUACUAAGAAUUCACAGAAGUGCAGGUCCUGAUGUUUGCUGUGCAAAUCUUCACCAGCCAGGCUGUGGUGUGCAAAAUGAGAGCUGCUGCUGAUGCAGACCAAAGACUUAUUUUCAGAAAGCUCAUUUGAAUUCUGCUUUACUGCUGGCAAUUGGAAAAUUAUUUUCAGUCCAAUGCUUUAAAAUGAACCUUGAGCAACACGCCUGUUUUGUUUAAGGCUUGCUUCUCUGUUCACUGGAUUGGCAGCAGUGUUGAUGCUGGCAGCAGAAAGGUCAUUAUUUCUGUCUUAGGUCUUCUUUGGAGUAUUAAAGAUACUUGAGUAUAAUAAUUCUCAGUGUGAGAUGCACUUCUUAAUUAAUUUUCAAGGUAGCAUAUUGCAGCUUGGGAUGCCCUUCUGAAAGCCAGGAGAGCUUCCCAGAAAGGGUGAGCUGUGCUGGCUCAGUGGGCACAUCCUUCUCCCAUGAAACAGCACACACCCCCACAGUGUAAGCUUCCAGCUCUGCAAAAUGACAACCACCACCUCAGCUUUCCCAAGAUGAAUCAAUCAGUUGCUUUUUAAAAUUAUGGAUGCCUAAUGUGGGAUUAUCUAGUGGAUGCUUUUUGAUCUGUGUAGAUACCAGCGAAUUUUAGAUUUGUUCCACUGUGUGUAUUAGGGCAAAUUAAAAGCUCUGGAGUCAGGAAAUUGUAUUUCCUGUGGCUGAGAGUGGGCUGCACUGCUCUUUUGAUACAGAAAUUUUAGGAACAUUGAUGGUUGAAGCAGACACAUCUGCUGUUUGUAGUGAUUCUGUCAACAGCCCUCAUGGUACACAGCCAGCCUAAUAAUCACAAGUGCUUCUUUCUGUUUAAAUCCCAGAAAAGGAACUGACAUCUUUUAUCAGAAAGACAGACAAUCUGUAUCCCAUGACAAUUCCAGAUUAUGGAUCCCAAGAGACUUUCCUUACAUUCUUAUUUUAUCAUGGAAAUCACAGUUAGUGCUGUUUACUUUCUAUACCUCCACACAGUUUUCAAGGUGUUGCCAGCAGGACCUGUGGUGAUACUGACAUGUGUUGUUGUCACAUUGCAAGAUCUGAUAGAACACCCCUAUAUAUAUAAAUAUCAGUGUUUUCUUGGAUCUUCCUUUGCUUUCAGUGGCUUUGGAAAUCGUGGCACUAGUUAAUUCACAUGCUUUGUCUAUUUUGUAGGCUUUUUUCCUACUUCUAAGGACAGACUUGUAUGUCUGUCCUUAGUAUGGAGUAUGACUCUCCUUUGCUGCUAUUUUUAUGGUAGGGAGCUAUGUAUAUGACAUUUUCUAGCUGUUACUAUAGAGUAGGAUAAGAAUAAAUGUCUGGGGAGAAAAAGAAACACUGAUUAUUUGGAAAACUAAGUGACUUAUGCCUUAUAUUUUUUCUUUGCAAUAUUCCUGUCAUGCUGCUUCGAAGUUCACAGCCCAGACCCACACCAGAAGUGGGGAGGAGGGACAGCAGAGCUGCUCAGGAAAUGCAGAGCUCCAGCCACGCAGCCACACUCCAGAAAGCUGUUCACUGUCCUCCGUUGUGAUAUAAAAGCUGAAAUGCCACUCAAGCUCCUUCCCUCUGGACUUUCCUCACCCUGGGGAUCAGUAGUACAUGAGAAUGACCCAUCCCUGGUGUACUGCCAUCCACAAACUCAUGAUUUGUCAUGGUUGAAGUUCCUUGAAACUGAACUUUGGGUCUGUGCGAACAACAGGUUCUUCGUGCUGAUCCCCUGUGAUUUGAUUUGUUUUGCCUGGCAGACUGUCAACCUUCUCUGAAGUUAUAAUCAUCUGUUUGAGGCUUGGAGCACGUUUUCACUAAAAUAUUUGUUCCUGAGCUUACCUACAACUUGUUAAUUUUGUAAACAAUAAACAAACAAAUAUUAAUAUGUAUUCAUAGCCUUUUUACCCACUUCAAAAAGCCAUCUUAAAGACCAGUUCAAUAGUCCAGCUGUCAGUGGG